UACGUAGGAUCCGAGCGUUAUCCGGAUUUACUGGGCGUAAAGAGUUGCGUAGGUGGCAUAGUAAGUUAAUAGUGAAAUCCUGGGGCUCAACCCCUUCAACAUUAUUAAAACUGCUAAGCUAGAGAAUGAGAGAGGUUACUGGAAUUCCAAGUGUAGGAGUGAAAUCCGUAGAUAUUUGGAGGAACACCGAUGGCGUAGGCAGGUAACUGGCUCAUUUCUGACACUAAGGCACGAAAGCGUGGGGAGCAAACGGG
rnacentral:rRNA from 1 species